CGGUGGAGCAUGUGGUUUAAUUCGAUGCAACGCGAAGAACCUUACUACCCUUGACAUACAGAAAAGCCUGAAGAGAUUUGGGUGUGCCGUAAUAGGAGUUCUGAUACAGGUGCUGCAUGGCUGUCGUCAGCUCGUGUCGUGAGAUGUUGGGUUAAGUCCCGUAACGAGCGCAACCCUUAUUCUUAGUUACCAGCGCGUAGAGGCGGGGACUCUAAGGAGACUGCCGGUGACAAACCGGAGGAAGGCGGGGACGACGUCAAGUCAUCAUGGCCCUUACGGGUAGGGCUACACACGUGCUACAAUGGCCGGUACAGACGGAGGCGAAGUGGCGACACGGAGCGAAUCCUAGAAAGCCGGUCGUAGUCCGGAUUGAAGUCUGCAACUCGACUUCAUGAAGUCGGAAUCGCUAGUAAUCGCAAAUCAGCAUGUUGCGGUGAAUACGUUCCCGGGCCUUGUACACACCGCCCGUCACACCAUGGGAGUGGGCUGCACCAGAAUUAGAUAGUUUAACCGCAAGGGGGG
rnacentral:rRNA from 1 species